UUGACGAUUCAUUGGGAUGAGUCAUAUCUAAACUAGUAAGUUUGAAUCUUGAUUCUAAUUUGAGUAUGAGUGACUCACUAUGAGCCGUAAGGGUGUGUCACGAGUUGUAGGUUCAAAUCGUAGGUUGUCCAGUGUUCAAUUCAUUUGGAUUUUGUGUUGCUCACAAGUAGGACCCUAUGAGUCGUAGGGUCAUGUUACGAGUUGGUGGGUUAAGUCGUAAGGAUAACAGUGUUGGGG
rnacentral:lncRNA from 1 species